rnacentral:rRNA from 1 species
UCGCUUGCCAGGGAACUACGAGCCCCAGCUUGAAACCCAAAGGACUUGGCGGUGCUUUAGACCCCCCUAGAGGAGCCUGUUCUAGAACCGAUAACCCCCGUUUAACCUCACCCUCUCUUGUUCCUCCCGCCUAUAUACCGCCGUCGUCAGCUUACCCUGUGAAGGACUAACAGUGAGCAUAAUUGGCACAGCCUAAAACGUCAGGUCGAGGUGUAGCGUAUGAGGGGGGAAGAAAUGGGCUACAUUCACUGAGCCAGUGAAAACGAACGAUGCCUUGAAACACUUAUCUGAAGGAGGAUUUAGCAGUAAGAGGGCAAUAGAGCGCCCCUC